UUUAGCCCAUAGAAAGCUCAAAUUGGUUUUAGCCCAAAUUAAUAUAUAAUAUUUGUAUUCUGCACUUGUAGGGUAUCCAGUUACAAAAGGUUAAAAAUUAUUAUAUAGGGUAUCCAUCCAGUUACAAAUUAGUAUAUAUUCUUUUCACUAACUAAUUGUGUUUGAAAUCAAGCGGCCACAUAAAAAUUGUUUCAUUUUAGGCGAGAGAAUACAUAGUUGUUUUCAAUAAUACUCUCAAAAUCAUUUUUUUUUUAAAGAAAAAGCAAAAAGAAAACGCUCCUCCGUCACAGCAUUAAGAGUUUCCUCUCUUUUUCUUCUUCAUGAAAAAAGAAAAAGAGAAUAUAUGCCUCUCACGUCUUGCUUCUCCAAAUGCCAAACAAAAAAUCAAGCUCUGGAUGCUCUGAAAGUGUAAAUAACAGUAUUACUUGUAACUGAUUUCGUAUUUUGAAUUUUUGAGGCUAAUGGAAAACGAUGUAGCUGAUUAAUCUGAAAUUAAUUUCUUCCAAGAUCCCUAGCUUUCCUUUUUUUUUCUUUCCUUUUACGCUCGGUUUCAGAUUCUUAUUUGAAUCUGAAUAUAUUACGUUUUGUGUUUGUUUAUGAUACCUACAACACUGUUUUUAGUUCAACAAAUUCAACCUCACCUUGCGUUUUUGAAUCUGUUUUUGUUAAUAAGCUUGAACCUAGGUUUUUCUUAGCAUCAGCAGCGUCUUUUUUUUUUUUUUUUCUUUCUGAAGUUCGUUAUACGUUUUUGUUGAUUUCUCACUUUGCGUUUUUGAAGAUAAUAACUCUGUUUUUGUUAAUAAGCUUGCACCUCAGUUUGUUUUAGAAUCUGUAGUCCUUUUAUCUGCAUUUCCUCUUUUCUUUUUACUUGCUAUCUGCUUCUUAUUUUGUAUAUACUGUGUGUUUACUUCGUUUCUAAUGCCUAUAAAACCUUUCUGUUUUUAGUUUAACAAGCUACAUAUGUUUCCAUGCUUUUACGUCGUUUGUGAUUCGUUGUCAUAGUAAUCACUUUUACUCUGAAAUCUACUUUUUUUUGGAAAAUGUUAGCUGUUUUUGUGUUUGUUUAAAGUGUCUGAUAUAUGUUUCUCAUUUAUAUGUAUUAUGCACAUAUGCAUCGGUUGAUAUUGAUAUAGCCCUGGCAUGACGGAUAAUGCUAAAUUCGAAGAUCACACGCCCUUAACAACUUGCCUGUUGGAUUCCUUUUUGCCUGAAUUUGACGAUUCUGGAGCUUUCCGUCGGUCAGGCUUGCCUUUUGUGUUUGAAAAAAACUCGAGCUACCCCAGCAAUAUGCAGGAAAAUAGCGAAUACUUCAUCUGAAUUUGAGACUUGUAUCUCAGGCGAACCGGAACAGGCGAAAUAAUGCAGGAGAAAGGGGCUUACAUUAAUCACGAUGACACAAGUCUAUUACUUGCUUUGGGAAAUUUGAAGGAAUUACAUGCUUUGGCCGUGAGACUAAAUGAACGGCAGAGGGAAAAGUUGAGUUUUAUUGAUCAGCAAGUAUAUGAGCUGCUCACUCACUUUGUCUUCAGGGAAGCGAGAGAUAAUAUUUUUUGACAUUUAAUGUUGAUGUAAGUAAGAAAUUUUAUUUUUUCUUCUUCGUCGUUUGCACAUGUUGUAUUGCCAAAUGGGACUGCUCAAGGGCAGCCAGUUUCAUAUCACCAGGGCGCACCUUGUAAUGGAGGUAUAAAUGAUGGAGGAGGUGCUGGAGGUUCUCAUGCAAAUGGGGAUACAAGUGGUGGUGGUGGUGAUGCAGAUGCAGGUGGAGGUGGCGGAGGUGGAGGUGUGAAUUUCAUAUUUUAUGUUCCAGUAGUCCUAAGGACCCCUGGAAACUAGCAGGUCCGAGCCACUUUCCAUUGUUUCCACUUUAUAUACGAAUUGGGAUCAGUUCCUCAACGUCCUCCACUGCCAUUGGUGUAACUAUGCAGAUGAAUUGCCACGUCCGAAUAUUACUCGGGAGACGGUGUGACCAGGUUAAAGGGUUAUCUUUCGACGUCAUCUAAAUGAGAAUGAGCCUCAACCUGUUGGAGAGGAUUAUGAGGAAAUGGAUUUUGAAGGUGAUUGGCCUUCCUUUCAUCACAUGAUUCGGCAGGUUAUUGUUGAACCACUGGCGGCUUGAUAUGAAAAGUGACAAGGGGAGCCUUCUUAGAUUAUUUUUCCUUUGAACCUCGUUCUAGUUGGGAAAUUUUCAGAAUUUCGCUGGUAAUUUUUGAAAACUUCUAGAUAAAAAUUAUCAUUGAUGGCAAGAAUUUUAAUACAAAUCGGCUAAAAUAGAUCAAUUCAAUGUGAGCUUUGGCUCGCUACUAUACCGAUCAGAUCUUUUAUCACAGAUCAAGAACCAACCACACGAUUGAACUACUGCAAUAUACUUAGUAUUUUCUAGAAA